rnacentral:rRNA from 1 species
GAAUAUGAUCAUACCAGCACUAACGCAAUGGAUCCCAUCAGAAUUUCGAAGUCAAGCGUGCUUCGGCGAGAGUAGUCCUAGGAUGGGUGACCCCCUGGAAAGUCCUCGUGUUGCAUCCC